rnacentral:rRNA from 1 species
AGAGUUUGAUCCUGGCUCAGGACGAACGCUGGCGGCGUGCUUAACACAUGCAAGUCGAGCGAAGAAGCACCUUCGGGUGUGGAUUAGCGGCGAACGGGUGAGGAACACGUGAGGAAUCUGCCUUCCACUCUGGGAUAACUCCGGGAAACCGGGGCUAAUACCGGAUACUUUCAACUGGCGGCAUCGCCGGUUGAAGAAAGUUUUUCGGUGGAAGAUGACCUCGCGGCCUAUCAGCUUGUUGGUGAGGUAAAGGCUCACCAAGGCGACGACGGGUAGCCGGCCUGAGAGGGCGACCGGCCACACUGGGACUGAGACACGGCCCAGACUCCUACGGGAGGCAGCAGUGGGGAAUAUUGGGCAAUGGAGGAAACUCUGACCCAGCGACGCCGCGUGAGGGAUGAAGGCCUUCGGGUUGUAAACCUCUUUCAGCAGGGAAUAAGCGAAAGUGAAGGUACCUGCAGAAGAAGCACCGGCUAACUAUGUGCCAGCAGCCGCGGUAAUACAUAGGGUGCAAGCGUUGUCCCGGAAUUAUUGGGCGUAAAGAGCUCGUAGGUGGUCGAUCACGUCGGAUGUGAAAAUUCUGAGGCUUAACCUCGGACCUGCAUUCGAUACGGGUUUGACUAGAGUGUGGUAGGGGGAGACUGGAAUUCCUGGUGUAGCGGUGGAAUGCGCAGAUAUCAGGGAGGAACACCCGAUGGCGAAGGCAGGUCUCUGGGCCCAUUACUGACACUGAGGAGCGAAAGCGUGGGGAGCGAACAGGAUUAGAUACCCCUGGUAGUCCACCGCCGUAAAACGGUGGGCGCUUAGUUGUGGAACCCUUCCACCGUUUCCUGCGACGCAGCCUACGCAUUAAGGCGCCCCGCCUGGGGAGUACCGUCGCCAGGACUAAACUCCAAAGGGAUUGGACGGG